GAUGAAGAACGUAGCGAAAUGCGAUAAGUAGUGUGAAUUGCAGACUUUAGUGAAUCAUCGAAUCUUUGAACGCACAUUGCGCCCGCUAGUAUUCUGGCGGGCAUGCCUGUUCGAGCGUCAUUUCAACCAUCAAGCCCUGUUUAGGCUUGUGUUGGGGCCCUGCGGCUGCCGCAGCCCCCUAAAUGCAGUGGCGGGCUCGUUGUCACUCCGAGCGCAGUAGCGUAUCUCGCUCUGGGCGUGGCGGCGGGUGCUAGCCGUGAAACACCCACUAAGGUUGACCUCGGAUCAGGUAGGAAUACCCGCUGAACUUAAGCAUAUCAAUAAGCGGAGGA
rnacentral:misc_RNA from 1 species